rnacentral:ncRNA from 1 species
GAGAAGGUCCCAAGGGUUUGGCUGUUCGCCAAUUAAAGUGGUACGUGAGCUGGGUUCAGACCGUCGUGAGACAGGUUGGUCUCUAUCUGCUGUCGGCGUGGAUACUUGAGGGAAGUCGACCCUAGUACGAGAGGACCGGGUUGAACAAACCUCUGGUCUACCGGCUUUGCCACCAGGUGAAGCGCCGGGUAGCUAUGUUUGGACGGGAUAAGCGCUGAAAGCAUCUAAGCGCGAAGCCUCUCCCAAGAUUAGGUAUCAUGAGAUCCUGGAAGACUACCAGGUUGAUAGGCUCUAGGUGUAAGCGCGGCAACGCGUUUAGCCGAGGAGUACUAAUAAUCUCACUGCUAAUUUCU